GUUAUCGCUCAGUGGCAGAGUGCUUGCCUAGCAUGUGUGAGGCACUGGGUUCAAUUCUCAGCAUCACA
rnacentral:tRNA from 1 species